rnacentral:tRNA from 1 species
GCCCAGAUGGUGGAAUUGGUAGACACGCUAGUUUCAGGUACUAGUGCCGAUAAGGUAUGCAAGUUCGAGUCUUGUUCUGGGCA